CCUACGGGAGGCAGCAGUGAGGAAUAUUGGUCAAUGGCCGCAGGGCUGAACCAGCCAAGUCGCGUGAGGGAUGACGGUCCUAUGGAUUGUAAACCUCUUUUGUCAGGGAGCAAAGGGCGCCACGUGUGGCGUUUUGCGAGUACCUGAAGAAAAAGCAUCGGCUAACUCCGUGCCAGCAGCCGCGGUAAUACGGAGGAUGCGAGCGUUAUCCGGAUUUAUUGGGUUUAAAGGGAGCGUAGGCCGCAUGUCAAGCGUGCUGUGAAAUGUCCGGGCUCAACCCGGGCCUUGCAGCGCGAACUGGCGUGCGUGAGUCCGCGGAAAGCAGGCGGAAUUCGUCGUGUAGCGGUGAAAUGCUUAGAUAUGACGAAGAACCCCGAUUGCGAAGGCAGCUUGCUGCAGCGGAACUGACGCUGAUGCUCGAAAGCGCGGGUAUCGAACAGGAUUAGAUACCCUUGUAGUC
rnacentral:rRNA from 1 species